UUCAAAGGGCCUUGAUUGGCAGUUGUGCCU
rnacentral:piRNA from 1 species